CUUCCAAUUGAUUUGUCGCUGAGAAAGAGGAUGUCCGUCGCUGAACUGAAGGAGUUUUGUUUUAAGGUCUACUCUCAAUUCCUCUUUGUUUUAUUUUGUGCGUGUUUUAAAAUGUGUGGUGUUGUAGAAUGGUGCUAAUGGAGUUUUGUGUGAUGGGCGCGGGAAGUUGUAUUGGGCGCGGAAUCGCGGAGAAGAAUGCAAAGCAAAGGGGAUAGUUGUGCUUUUUGCGUGGGUUUCGGUUGGCGAUGUUCAAUUGAAGGAUUUAGUCGCUCUCUACUCUUCUCUAGGAUGGGAUUGUCUCAUUUCCCGUUCCGAUUAUCUCAACCCGUACGUUAUUUUUCCUUUUUUCUAUUAAAAGAUAAUUACUGUGUUAUGCAGUUCGUUGCGUUUGUUGGAUGAUUGUGGUUGUGUUUGAAGUGUACCGUUCUUGAGUUGGUUGUAUUAUUGGCUGAGGUGGAGUUUCAAAUUGUAGCGUUUUGUAAGCACUUCUGUAUUCCACAGUUUGGGGGAUAUUGUGUUUGUGUUGCUGUGCGAAGUGAGAGCAAGUUGAAGAUGAAAUUGCUAGUUUCUGGCGAGUUAGAGUAAUUACAUUAGAGUAUGCAGUAGAUUGAAUUAGUGCUGGCUGGAGGGUGCUUCAGCUGACCCUAGUAACCCCCCCGAGUGCUUGAAUUUUCUGACCAGAGCUCUGAAAGAUGCAACUUCAAAGUCUAUCUGUACCUUCGUUAGGUAUCAAAUUGAAAUCUUAGUGGGAAGUUUAUCAGAAUACGAUUUUAUUCUACUUGCUAUUUGCUAUCUUUCUACAGACAUUGGCCUCUGAUACUAUUUGCUAUCUUUCUACAGAUUCAUUCCGGAGAGAGCUACAUCACUGGCCUUUUCGGUCCUUGAUGAGCUUGUUAAGGUUUUCAUUACCUAAUCAUCCAUCUUUUUCUUCACAGAUUAGUCUUUGUGAAGUUUGUGAAGCUUGUGCGUGUUUCAAUUUGUGAAGUUUGUGUUAACUAGAUUCUGCUUACAGAUUAGUCUUUGUAACUAGGAAUAUGAAUUUAUCAGCAAUAUUAUCCUUGAAGAGACACUAAACUGAAUUGAGGUUGCUGGGAGUUAUAAGGAUUUGAUGAACAAUAUUUGUCUCGGUAUUCAGUUUGCUCAGUUGGGUGAUCUUAUUUGUGGUUUUGAGUUGUAGUAUUUUCUUGCUUGGUCAUAAAAGUUUGCAUUUGAAGGAAUGGUGAAGUUUUAUGGCACUUAGUUUAUUGCUUGCUUCAGAAACAGGUACACAAACAGUUGGUGGAAGAAAACUCAAAAAGCUGAAGCCCCCCAUCAACCCCCCCUCCCCCACCCCCGAGCAUCUCCAAGACUAGCAGGCCUAGGGGAAGGCCGAGAAAGGUGAAUCCACAGCCAUUUCAGACGGGAUUUGAAGCCUAAGAUGCGUGCUGCCCCUUUUAACAUAGAGGUUUAUGUGUGACUAAGUCAUGUUAGGUGUCUCAAAGUUGUUUGAAUAUGAAUGAUUAUUUGACAGCAGCUAUUUGAUGGGAAAGAGAGAUCUUAUAUAUGCAUUUUAAAGGUAUAUCAGAUGACAUUUAAUAAAGGUAUACAUAAUUGAAAUCAAUGAGUUGAUUAGUCAUCUAUUUUUGAUAAUGUUAGUAAUUAUAUGAUGCUACCAACAUUGGACAGGCAAAGCUACAGUGGUUAUGGAAACGAGUGGUGCUGGAAAAUC
rnacentral:lncRNA from 1 species